rnacentral:rRNA from 1 species
UACAGAGGGUGCAAGCGUUGUUCGGAAUUAUUGGGCGUAAAGCGCGUGUAGGCGGCUUUGCAAGUCGGGGUGUGAAAGCCCUCAGCUUAACUGAGGAAGUGCGCCCGAAACUGCAGAGCUCGAGUGCCGGAGAGGAAAGCGGAAUACCUGGUGUAGAGGUGAAAUUCGUAGAUAUCAGGUGGAACACCAGUGGCGAAGGCGGCUUUCUGGACGGUAACUGACGCUGAGACGCGAAAGCGUGGGGGAGCAAACAGG